rnacentral:lncRNA from 1 species
UUUUUUUUUUUUUUUUUUUUUUUUUUCGCUCUUUGCUCCAACCCGUUACAGAUAAGGAGGUCAUGGAAAAACAAAUACGGAGUGUACUGUAACAAAAAUAUAAAAUGCGGUGAACUUAUCUGCGAAUAUGUUGGUGAAAUACUAAAUGAAAAAGACAUAAAAUCGAGAAUAAAAAUGUAUGAACAAGAAAAUAAGAACAGUGUAUAUGAUUUGUAUUUAGUUAAAAUAAGCGAACAGUUAUAUAUUGAUAACAAUAAGAAAGGUAACAUAUCAAGAUUUAUUAAUAUUUCUUAUUCUUCAAAUUGUGUUUUACAAAAAUGGCUAGUUGAUGAUUAUUUUAAAAUAGGUAUCUUUGCAUCUCAAAAUAUACCAGCUGGUGAUGAAAUCCUAUACAAUAAGAACUACGACCUAAACAUGUGCCAUCCGUUAAUCCGAUCGGGCUCAUCCGAAAACAUAAAAAACAAAUUAGAAGUUAACGAAGAAGAUGAGAAUAUGCCAGUAAGCGAUGUAGAAAUAACAAAUAGUAACACCUUUAGUUUAGUCGAUAAUUUUAAUAAACUACAUAGCAAACUACAAGAAUGGAAUAUACAUAUAAAUAGUAUAAAUAUUAAAAAUUUAUAUAAAUACAACAAAUUUAAUACAAUACAAUUAAGAUUAAUCGAAACCUUUGCAACAUGGAUUUUAUAUGAUUUGAAUUUUAAAAUGGAUAAUUUUUUUUUUUCUUUUAAAUCUAAACCAAUAAAUAUAUCAAGUGACUUCUGGAAAAUAUUAAGUUCGUCUUUUUCUGAAGGAGAAAAAAGUAUUAAUAAUACUUUUAGUUUAUUUUUGCCUUCACUUAUAAAAAUGGGACAACUAUAUAGGAUACAACAGGUACGUCUAUAUUUUAUUUUAUUUUUUUUUUAUAGCAAUUUCUUUAAGUGUGUUUAUUUUACACAUUUAUAUAUGUUGCAUGUGUAUUAUUACAUAUGCGUGCAAAAUACACAAAAGUGACAUUAUUAUUAUUAUUUAUUAUUAUUAUUAUUAUUAUUAUUAUUUAUUAUUUAUUAUUAUUAUUUUAUUUUUUUUUUUUAUUUUUUUUUUUUUUUUUUUACUUAUUAACAGUAUAGUUACAUCGUACAAAAUAUUGUUGGAUCUGAACAUGCAGUAUGGAAUUUAAUUGAUUCUGGAUUUGCUGAUGACGAGGUAAGAAAGUAAAGAAGCUUAAAAUACUUAAAACGUACAAAAUAAACAUUGCUACAUUUUCA